AAAUGCUUCUUCAGCAGACUCAAAGGAAUGACAUCAGUCAGAAUGAAACCUGUUCUUCAGCCAUAACUCAUCUUCUUCAAAGACAAGACUACCAGCAAGGCUAGGUCAUUUGUACCAUAACACUGCAUGCCUACAAUGAAACAUACAUUAUCUUUGCAGACAGCUUCAUUUUCUAAACAGCGCUGUUUAUCAUCAAGGGGUGAAGCCUACCAGAAAGCACUGCUUGAUAAGUGAGAUGUUGAGUGCGUCUACUCAGAUCUAACUCAACAGAUGGCUCUGGUGUCUACUACCAUACUCACUGAUCAUCCUCCUGAUCAUGAUCAGCUAAGCUAUUUUAUUCAGAGGUCUCAUCUAUUACAAAAUAUGAAGCAGAACCCAUGAGAAAGGCUACAUGCUACUGAACACUUUCUGAUGUCCUGACUUUGUAUUGCUCUGCUCUGUGCAGAAUUAAAAUUACUUGUGACAUCAAGUGCACUCUUGAAAUUUGUCAAUGCUGGAGAAGAGAACUGUGGCCCUUGGAAUGUGUCCUAGAUCCUCUGUGUAGAGCUGUGCUGCAUUAAAUCAUUUGAGAUUAGCACUGUGAUAGCUUUUAUGACAUUUCAUCUGCCUACAUUAUGAGACUCCUCCAUACAUCAAUCCUCAAGGAUUCUUUCAUCAUCUGAAUUACACUGCCACAUCAUCUCUGCACUGUUUUGAUCAUCACAGUUGUUCUAAUUAUAUUUUUCUUUUAAUGCGAUUAAUGCAGAUUCCCCAAACCAUAUUGCAAAUGGUUGUCACAAUUUCUGUUUCUGAUGGUACAGAUCAGUAGCGCAGCAACCAUUAUGCUAAAAAGUAUCCAGCUAAUGUUAAUGUUUUUUACAAGCAUCCUUGACUGAAGACAUGCAUGUUUUAGAUUUAAAGAUGUUGAAGACUUUUCAGCCAUCCAGAUUUACAUAAGAUAAUUAAAAAAUUCAUAAAAUCAUUAAGAUUAUGAUUACCUGAUAUUAUUAUCACACAUAGGCCAUCUACUUCCAAGAGGUCAGUGCUCCCUUGAGCAAAAAAUGCGGUUCUGCUCAUGGCAUUUUUCUUAGAUUUGUUAUUCAACAAAUUUUAUAUCAUAUGUAUUCUACCCGAGUAGAGAAAACUCUCCCUGAAAACUCUAAAAAAACCACCAAACUCUAAAAAGCCAGCUGUUGCCAUGUUUACACUAAUUUCAUUUUCUGAUUACAGACCACACAAAGAAGAAUACUGUGUUUUCACCAGCAACUGAAAGUUUAAGAUUUUCAGUUUACUUGUCUUUUUUUAAAACAAUUUUCUUUCAUAAAAUUUUAUUGCCCAUUGUUUGGAAUAACGCUAUAUUGCUUCUCCUGAUGAGAAGUCCUUUUCUGUUUACCUAGUUUUU
rnacentral:lncRNA from 1 species